CAGGUCCUGCCGGGACUCCCUGCUUGGGAGACAUCCUUCUUUAUAUGCCCAUAUGGACCUGCAAAGCUAUGGAAUGUAAAGAAGUAUGUGUCCCCGGCGGGACAGCUCUCCCGGGCGGGGU
rnacentral:pre_miRNA from 15 species